rnacentral:ncRNA from 1 species
GCAAUUGGUUCGCCUGAGUGGCGAAUAAUAGGGAAUGGGGUGAGAAUCCCCAACAGUCCCGCUGCUGUAUUUCGUCCUUUUGGGGCAAACAAAACGUCACUGAAUGAUUCUUCGGGAAGACGUUUGCCGCCAGACGAUAAGUCAGAAGACCUGCCGUUGCC